rnacentral:rRNA from 1 species
GUAGUCAUAUGCUUGUCUCAAAGAUUAAGCCAUGCAUGUCUAAGUAUAAACGAUUUUGUACAGUGAAACUGCGAAUGGCUCAUUAUAUCAGUUAUAAUUUAUUUGAUAGUACCUUACUACUUGGAUAACUGUGGUAAUUCUAGAGCUAAUACAUGCAAAAUAACCCGACUUCGGAAGGGUUGUAUUUAUUAGAUAAAAAACCAAUGUGGGCAACCACUCUUUGGUGAUUCAUAGUAACUUAUCGAAUCGCAUGGCCUUGCGCCGGCGAUGGUUCAUUCAAAUUUCUGCCCUAUCAACUUUCGAUGGUAGGAUAGAGGCCUACCAUGGUUUUAACGGGUAACGGAGAAUUAGGGUUCGAUUCCGGAGAGGGAGCCUGAGAAACGGCUACCACAUCCAAGGAAGGCAGCAGGCGCGCAAAUUACCCAAUGGGAAUACCCCGAGGUAGUGACAAUAAAUAACAAUGCAAAGCCAUUUUGGUUCUGCAAUUGGAAUGAGUACAAUCUAAAUCCCUUAACGAGGAACAAUUAGAGGGCAAGUCUGGUGCCAGCAGCCGCGGUAAUUCCAGCUCUAAUAGCGUAUAUUAAAGUUGUUGCAGUUAAAAAGCUCGUAGUUGAAUUUCGGGCUCAGCAAGUUGGUCUACCUUUUGGUGGUACUGGCAUUGUUGGGCCUUACCUUCUGGGGAACCAAGGUGAUCUUAACUGAUUGCUUUGGGGAACCAGGACCUUUACUUUGAAAAAAUUAGAGUGUUUAAAGCAGGCUUACGCUUGAAUACAUUAGCAUGGAAUAAUAGAAUAGGACUUUGGUUCUAUUUUGUUGGUUUCUAGGACCAGAGUAAUGAUUAAUAGGGAUAGUUGGGGGCAUUAGUAUUGAGCAGUCAGAGGUGAAAUUCUUGGAUUUGCUCAAGGCUAACAACUGCGAAAGCAUUUGCCAAGGAUGUUUUCAUUAAUCAAGAACGAAAGUUAGGGGAUCGAAGACGAUUAGUACCGUCGUAGUCUUAACCAUAAACGAUCCGACUAGGGAUCGGUGGGAUUCGUUUCGAACCCAUCGGCACCUUAUGAGAAAUCAAAGUGUUUGGGUUCCGGGGGGAGUAUGGUCGCAAGGCUGAAACUUAAAGGAAUUGACGGAAGGGCACCACCAGGAGUGGAGCCUGCGGCUUAAUUUGACUCAACACGGGGAAACUCACCAGGUCCAGACAUAGUAAGGAUUGACAGAUUGAGAGCUCUUUCUUGAUUCUAUGGGUGGUGGUGCAUGGCCGUUCUUAGUUGGUGGAGUGAUUUGUCUGGUUAAUUCCGAUAACGAACGAGACCUUAACCUGCUAACUAGUUACACGAACCUUGGUUAGUGGCAACUUCUUAGAGGGACUGUUUGUGUUUAACAAAUGGAAGUUUGAGGCAAUAACAGGUCUGUGAUGCCCUUAGAUGUUCUGGGCUGCACGCGCGCUACACUGAUGAAACCAGCGAGUUUAUAACCUUGGCCGAAAGGUCUGGGUAAUCUUGUGAAAUUUCAUCGUGCUGGGGAUAGACCAUUGCAAUUAUUGGUCUUCAACGAGGAAUUCCUAGUAAGCGCGAGUCAUCAGCUCGCGUUGAUUACGUCCCUGCCCUUUGUACACACCGCCCGUCGCUACUACCGAUUGAAUGGCUUAGUGAGACCUUC